rfam:Lupinus angustifolius cultivar Tanjil contig_14217, whole genome shotgun sequence.
AAGUUUUAUGUAUUGAAUUUGGACCAAGUAGGGGCAUCAAGGUGUUGGAACAUAUCCCUAGCUUGCUAGGAUAGAUUGAUUGGUGCCAAUUGGUUGGCCUGCCUACUGACCUACUCUAAGUUGAGAGUUGAGUCACGAGGCUUAUGUGAAGGCUUUUGCUUCAUGUCUCCUAGAUUGGAGGGCACUGCGUGAGGCUGGAUUUAUAGAGCAGUAACUACCUCCAACUCCCAACAGUGGAGGGGUUACAGGCUACAGCACUACCAGUCCAUGAUUCCUCUUGAGCCUAGCUAUUUGGACCAACAAUUUA